UACAGAGGUGGCAAGCGUUGUCCGGAAUUAUUGGGCGUAAAGAGCUUGUAGGCGGUCUGUCGCGUCUGCUGUGAAAAUCCGGGGCUCAACCCCGGACUUGCAGUGGGUACGGGGCAGACUAGAGUGCGGUAGGGGAGACUGGAAUUCCUGGUGUAGCGGUGAAAUGCGCAGAUAUCAGGAGGAACACCGGUGGCGAAGGCGGCAUCCUGGACCGGUAUUGACGCUGAGUGAGCGAAAGCCAGGGGAGCAAACGGG
rnacentral:rRNA from 1 species